CGGAGGUCAUUGCUAUUGGGGUCCGAUUUAGCCAUGCUAGUUGUACGAGCUUAGACUCGUCGCGGAAAGCUCAGUAACACGUGGACAAACUACCCUACGGAGAGCCAUAACCUCGGGAAACUGAGGCUAAUAGUUCAUAGGAGAGUCGCGCUGGAAAUGCCGACUCUCCCAAACGCUCCGGCGCCGUAGGAUGUGUCUGCGGCCGAUUAGGUAGACGGUGGGGUAACGGCCCACCGUGCCGAUAAUCGGUACGGGUUGUGAGAGCAAGAGCCCGGAGACGGAAUCUGAGACAAGAUUCCGGGCCCUACGGGGCGCAGCAGGCGCGAAACCUUUACACUGCACGCAAGUGCGAUAAGGGGACCCCAAGUGCGAGGGCAUAUAGUCCUCGCUUUUCACGACUGUAAGGCGGUCGUGGAAUAAGAGCUGGGCAAGACCGGUGCCAGCCGCCGCGGUAAUACCGGCAGCUCAAGUGAUGACCGAUAUUAUUGGGCCUAAAGCGUCCGUAGCCGGCCACGAAGGUUCAUCGGGAAAUCCGCCAGCUCAACUGGGGGGGCGUCCGGUGAAAACCACGUGGCUGGGGACCGGAGGCUCCGAGGGGUACCGUCCGGGGGAAGGAGUGAAAUCCUGUAAUCCUGGACGGACCACCCGAGGGCGAAAGCACCCGUAGGGAAGCCCGAGAAGGCGAGCCGGCCUGGGGAGGUACGUCCGCAAAGGGAUGAAACUUAAAGGGAAUUGGCGGGGGAGCACUACAACCCGGAGGGAGCCUGCGGUUUAAAUGGACUCAACGCCGGGACAUCUCACCAGGCUCCGAUACAGUGAUGACGAUCAGGUUGAUGACCUUAUCACGACGCUGUAGAGAGGAGGUGCAUGGCCGCCGUCAGCUCGUACCGUGAGGCGUCCUGUUAAGUCAGGCAACGAGCGAGACCCGCACUUCUUAAUUGCCAGCAGCAGUUUCGACUGGCUGGGUACAUUAGAAGGACUGCCGCUGCUAAAGCGGAGGAAGGAACGGGCAACGGUAGGUCAGUAUGCCCCGAAUGAGCUGGGCUACACGCGGGCUACAAUGGUCGAGACAAUGGGUUGCUAUCUCGAAAGAGAACGCUAAUCUCCUAAACUCGAUCGUAGUUCGGAUUGAGGGCUGAAACUCGCCCUCAUGAAGCUGGAUUCGGUAGUAAUCGCAUUUCAAUAGAGUGCGGUGAAUACGUCCCUGCUCCUUGCACACACCGCCCGUCAAAGCACCCGAGUGAGGUCCGGAUGAGGCCACCACACGGUGGUCGAAUCUGGGCUUCGCAAGGGGGCUUAAGUCGUAACAAGGU
rnacentral:rRNA from 1 species